rnacentral:lncRNA from 1 species
AUUAAGGUUGCACAUGAACGAACAUCUCUCACUUCCCACCCUUUCUCUCUCUUAACUCGUCUAUCAACUUUCACUUUCUCCUAGGGUUCUUGGAGGUAUGCCCUUUUUUCCUGUAACCACAUUCACAUAAAUUCUUCAAGCUCUUAUACUUAACUGAUUUUAGCCGAGUUCCUUGAAUAUAUGUGGGCUUGUUAUGCAUAUUAUUGUGGAAAAUUAUACCUCUACCAGACCUUCCUUUUAUUUGAUUAUGUUGAAUAUGCUAUUUUGUUGAACCCUAAUAAAAAGUUCCAGUCUUGAUUUAGUACUAGCAGCUUUUGUAGUCUUGUUCUGUUGUAUUUUAGUGGUUUAGGGGUCUGUUCUGUAUUUAGCUCUUCUUUAUUUGGUGGAUUAGGGCU